AGAGCGAACGCUGGCGGCAGGCCUAAAACAUGCAAGUCGAACGGACCCUUCGGGGUUAGUGGCGGACGGGUGAGUAACACGUGGGAACGUGCCUUUUGGUUCAGAACAACUCAGGGAAACUUGAGCUAAUACUGAAUAAGCCCUACGGGGGAAAGAUUUAUCGCCAUUAGAGCGGCCCGCGUUGGAUUAGCUAGUUGGUGAGGUAAAGGCUCACCAAGGCUACGAUCCGUAGCUGGUCUGAGAGGAUGAUCAGCCACACUGGGACUGAGACACGGCCCAGACUCCUACGGGAGGCAGCAGUUAGGAAUCUUGCGCAAUGGGCGAAAGCCUGACGCAGCCAUGCCGCGUGAAUGAUGAAGGUCUUAGGAUUGUAAAAUUCUUUCAGUGGGAAGAUAAUGACUGUACCCACAGAAGAAGCUCCGGCUAACUUCGUGCCAGCAGCCGC
rnacentral:rRNA from 1 species